rnacentral:rRNA from 1 species
UGGGGAAUAUUGCACAAUGGGCGCAAGCCUGAUGCAGCCAUGCCGCGUGUGUGAAGAAGGCCUUCGGGUUGUAAAGCACUUUCAGCGAGGAGGAAGGUGGUGAACUUAAUACGUUCAUCAAUUGACGUUACUCGCAGAAGAAGCACCGGCUAACUCCGUGCCAGCAGCCGCGGUAAUACGGAGGGUGCAAGCGUUAAUCGGAAUUACUGGGCGUAAAGCGCACGCAGGCGGUUUGUUAAGUCAGAUGUGAAAUCCCCGGGCUCAACCUGGGAACUGCAUUUGAAACUGGCAAGCUAGAGUCUCGUAGAGGGGGGUAGAAUUCCAGGUGUAGCGGUGAAAUGCGUAGAGAUCUGGAGGAAUACCGGUGGCGAAGGCGGCCCCCUGGACGAAGACUGACGCUCAGGCUGCGAAAGCGUGGGGAGCAAAACAGGAUUAGAUACCCUGGUAGUCCACGCUGUAAACGAUGUCGAUUUUGGAGGUUGUGCCCUUGAGGCGUGGCUUCCGGAGCUAACGCGUUAAAUCGACCGCCUGGGGAGUACGGCCGCAAGG